CCGGUGGCUGCACGCCCGGGGGGCCCCUGUCCGCCGCGCCCCCGCGGAACGAGCAGCCCGGGAUCGCUGCAGCAUCGCCUCGGGUGGGUGGAGCCUCUCCGGGGCGGGCGCUGGGGCCGAGUCCGGCGCUGCCGCUCCUGCUCUCACUGCGCCCGGUGUGGGACUGGGAGCUGCUGGGGCUCGGUUCUGCUCUGGCUGCUUGUCCUACACCUGCCGGGUGAGACCUGAUCCUUUCCCUCCUCUCCCCCACUUUCUCUGUGGCUCGCACUCUCUAGUGGAAAAAACCUCUAGGUUUAAAAAGCCAGUGAAAACUGUUCUUUAUUUCCAGAGCACAGGAUAUUGUGAGUUGGAAAGACCCACGAGGAUCAUCAAGUCAAAUGGUGAUAAGUGGUUGGUCCAUUUAGGGACUGAACUCAGAAUCUUGAGCUUCUCAGCACCCUGCUCCAAGCACCUGAGCCAAUCUCAGGGUCAUGAGGAAGGUCCUGCCUGGAAUGGGAAUGGCUGCUGCCAGCAAGGGAAUUCCUAUGCCAAUACAGCUCCUUCUUUUCUGCUAAUGCUACUUUAAAUACCAGCCCCUGGAAUGGCUCUAGAGCAGAACUGGCUGGCACCUGACAUAACAGCACAAAACUCUUCCUAUAACCCUGAUCCUUUCCAGGAUUUACCCAACAGCUGUUAAGGUGCUCGUGCUAUGUCCCUUUCCAGGGAGAAAUGAGCAAGACAAGUCCUAAAGCUUCACUUGGUCUGUGGCAAAAGUUCCUCUGGAGAGUAUCAGGGCUGGUCCUGGCUGCAGAGGGGCGUUUCCUGCAGGUGAGUGUUCACAGCCCAAAAUCACAGCAGGUGCUGAGGCUGGGGCUGCUUUUCUGGCCCAGAGCUGCACUGAGCCCUCGGUGACUCCUGCUUGCUACCAGGAAUGUUCCUUGGUGUUCCCUGCGUGUGUCCCAGCUGGCCAGGAACGUGGGGCUGGAGGAGGCUGGGAGCCCCAGGAAGGGAACCAGCACCUCUUGUCCUUCAUAUUUGCAGGGGAGGAGCUGUGCCUGCAGCAUUCUGCCCAUGGCACGCAGCGUGCAGAACACAAGUCCUGGGGAUGGGCACUGGGAUGCCCGGGCAGCACUUGUAUGGACACGGAUAAAGGGCUGCCCGCAGCUCCUCAGCCAGGGGCUGCUCUGAAUGGGCACCCAGAGAUGCUUCAGCCUGGACAGAGCCCACCGACACCCCAAAAAUAUCCCAAGGAACAGCUGGCAUUACCUGGGAAUGCUGGCACAGUGUGUUUGCGGAGGGGCUCAGACAGCAAUUCCUGGUCCUGACCUCCCGGAGCUCCCACACACCUGCCAGGUUAUGUCCCAGCCACCCCCAAUCCCUUCCCUUCCAGCCUGGGGACAUCAUCCAUCAGCAGCGUUAAAGCCAAGUGAGAAGGACAGGAACUCACAGCCACUGACAGUCCCCUGCAGCAAGAGCUCAGUACACAUCCACAGAAGC